GCACAAGUCCUGUACAAGUUCAGAAAAUCGAAUCUGUGUUUUGACGUCACAGAAGGCUCCAGGUAUAACAACGCUCUCAGAUAAUGUCCAGCAGGCUUGAGAAAGCGGGCAAGACCGCAAAAGGAGCGCUGCCUUACCUUUGCCGUUCAGCAGCUUAAUGCCGACCGCUACUCUCCGCCGUGACACCGGGCUAUACGGACUGCCUAUGUGAAUAAAGAACACAGACUUAGAUGGGAGUCAGGAGCAAAAGGUCAGUUGACUUGGGGAAAAUCCUUGUCACUUUAGUUAAGUUGAGGGGGAGGAAGUAUUUGGGCCGGACUGAACUUAAAGACCUCUGUGAAGUUAACAGUAACCCGAACAAGAGUCUGGCUUCUGCUUCUAAAGACUGUUUAUGAGUGUUCUGUAAUAUUUAAGAAUUCAUGCCUCAAAGAGUGAACCGUAACAAAAAAGCCUGAGCACAAUGUAGGAGAGUUGUAACCAGAAAGUGUGUUGUGCCUCUGUACUAUGAUGAA